CUUUCCUUACCAGGCUCGAACUGCAGAUAACUGCUUCGGAAAAAUGCAGGGGCAAGCAUCCGCUCAGCACUGCAGGCAAGAGCAGCCAGUGGUUCUGCUCCAAAAAUAAUCUCUGCCCACCUCUUUUUCUGCCCACCUCCAAGUUUUUGAUCAGCCCUUCUCUUCUAUUUCCCAAUACCUUCAUUUCUCAGUUUGCCACAUAACUUGAAUGCAAAAUAUGAACAGAGCACUUGCAAAGAAAAAAGAAGGGGUAGCCAGGAACUGCACUCAAAAAGAGAUUGCAGAGCCUGGGAAUGUGGCUGUGCCCAGCCUGCCGCUGCCCAGAGUGUCUGUCUGUCCCAUGCUUGGCCUCACAGCUGUCCUGGGCUACCUCGACCCUCACCCGCCUGCCUUGCCCAGUGCCUUGGUUCUGGAGUCUCCCAGUUUGCAGGAAGGAAGGAUCUGACAUACACUGAG